rnacentral:rRNA from 1 species
UACGUAGGUGGCAAGCGUUAUCCGGAAUUAUUGGGCGUAAAGCGCGCGCAGGCGGUUUCUUAAGUCUGAUGUGAAAGCCCACGGCUCAACCGGUGGAGGGUCAUUGGAAACUGGGGAACUUGAGUGCAGAAGAGAAAAGCGGAAUUCCACGUGUAGCGGUGAAAUGCGGUAGAGAAUGUGGAGGAACACCAGUGGCGAAGGCGGCGUUUUGGUCUGUAACUGACGCUGAGGCGCGAAAGCGUGGGGAGCAA